GCGAAAUCGGUAGACGCUACGGACUUAAAAUCCGUCGACUUUAAAAAUCGUGAGGGUUCAAGUCCCUCUAUCCCCA
rnacentral:tRNA from 1 species